UCUCCGUUGGUGAACCAGCGGAGGGAUCAUUACCGAGUUUACAACUCCCAAACCCCUAUGUGAACGUUACCAAACUGUUGCCUCGGCGGGAAAUUCAUGCCCCGGGCGCGUCGCAGCCCCGGACCAAGGCGCCCGCCGGAGGACCAACCAAAACUCUUUUGUAUGUCCCUCGCGGACUUUUAUAAUUCUGAACCAUCUCGGCGCCCCUAGCGGGCGUUUCGAAAAUGAAUCAAAACUUUCAACAACGGAUCUCUUGGUUCUGGCAUCGAAGAAGAACGCAGC
rnacentral:misc_RNA from 1 species